GAUGAAGAACGUAGCGAAAUGCGAUAAGUAAUGUGAAUUGCAGAAUUCAGUGAAUCAUCGAAUCUUUGAACGUACAUUGCGCCCGCCAGUAUUCUGGCGGGCAUGCCUGUUCGAGCGUCAUUUCAACCCCUCAGGCCCUGGUGCCUGGCGUCGGGGCGUUCCCUCGCGGGAAGCUCCUAGAAACAGUGGCGGACCCGCCGCGGCUCCGAGCGCAGUAGUAAAAUUCUCGCUUAGGAGGUCCGUGGGGGGGUUUCCCGGCCGUAAAACCUAGACUUCGGUCUAUAUAUCUAAAAGGUUGACCUCGGAUCAGGUAGGAAUACCCGCUGAACUUAAGCAUAUCAAUAAGCGGAGGA
rnacentral:misc_RNA from 1 species